GAUGAACGCUGGCGGCGUGCCUAAUACAUGCAAGUCGAGCGAACGGAUAAGGAGCUUGCUCCUUUGAAGUUAGCGGCGGACGGGUGAGUAACACGUGGGUAACCUACCUAUAAGACUGGAAUAACUUCGGGAAACCGGAGCUAAUGCCGGAUAACAUUUGGAACCGCAUGGUUCUAAAGUAAAGAUGGUUUUGCUAUCACUUAUAGAUGGACCCGCGCCGUAUUAGCUAGUUGGUAAGGUAACGGCUUACCAAGGCAACGAUACGUAGCCGACCUGAGAGGGUGAUCGGCCACACUGGAACUGAGACACGGUCCAGACUCCUACGGGAGGCAGCAGUAGGGAAUCUUCCGCAAUGGACGAAAGUCUGACGGAGCAACGCCGCGUGAGUGAUGAAGGUUUUCGGAUCGUAAAACUCUGUUAUUAGGGAAGAACAAAUGUGUAAGUAACUGUGCACAUCUUGACGGUACCUAAUCAGAAAGCCACGGCUAACUACGUGCCAGCAGCCGCGGUAA
rnacentral:rRNA from 1 species